rnacentral:lncRNA from 1 species
GGGAGACAAGAGAAGGGAGAAAAGACGGGGGUGAAACACUCCGCAUCUGCCGUUCCCACGGUGGUCGUCCUCGUCGUCCAACCCUGCGCGCCCGACGAGGACCGCGGCAUCCGCACCUUCACCAAGCAGUCCGCGGCGGACAAGCGCCCCAGCUAUGGGCACCGCCCACGAGCUCUGCGCCGGACGGUCCGGUCAAGGUAAUAAGGCCGGCUCCUCUCCCCCCUCGUUCACCUACAUAGCUUAAUUUUGCCCGUUGCCAUUUCGUCAGCUGUGUUUGCGAGGAGUCAGGAGCAAACUUGUUUUGUUGUUGGAUAGAUCUCUGUUCAUGUCAUGUGUAGGAAACCACCCAGGUGUUUUGUAAGCCGGUUGUAUAGGGGUGGGGUAGGGGAUACGCGAGGGGGAGCCAUGGAGCUUCGGCUACAGGAGGUUGUUGCCUCAGCCAACAAUGAAUGGCAGGAGCCAUAUACGUCGAUUUUUGUUGUCGGUGUUUUGUCUAGAGUCAGCAACAAACAAAUUAUACUGUGUGUUGAAGCUAGCAUCUACACUAAUGAAUUCAGCUUAGCUUCUGGUAGUUGUUUUUUGUCUGCCCAUUAUUGUGCUGGGGGGAGGGGUGUUAGUUGAUGACAAUGAGGUUAAGCAGGCUGUUUUUGAUUUGAUCUGUAAGUUUUCAGACUUUAGACUGUAAAUUAAGUUAUUGUUCACAUCUCUAGGGUAUAAAAACAGAAUUCAUAGUGUUUUACUGAAAUGCAGAAUCCAACACGCUGAAUUCAGAGUGUUUUGCAGAGCAUACCACACAUUCUGAAUCUGUUAGUUUUUAGAAUUUGGGAUUCACGAUGUUUUAUUUUUCAUUUUUGAUCUGCAAGUUUAGAGUGUGGGAUUCAGGAUGUUUAGCACACAUUUUUUAGUUGGAUUCGGAAUGUGGGAUUUCCAGGAUGUUUAUUUUCAGAGAGAGCAUACAUUUUUGAGUACGUAAGCUCAGUGAUUGAGAUUGUUGGAUUUAGGCUUUUUUCAUUUUUUUUCAUUUUUCAGUCUGUAUGUUCAGUGAUUAACAUGUGUAUCUGUGUCGUGCAUGAGAGGGCGAUGUGUCCUCAAGGUUUUUGUUUCCCAGUAGUAGUGUAGCUUUUAGUAGAGGGACACAUUCUCAAUUUUUUUGAUAACCAACUUCAGUGAGACAAAAGCAAGUUUUUUCUUAAUUUAAUGGUUAAUGUUUUCUCUCUGCCCCAGAGAAUUAUCUGAAUGUGCACAACGCGUAUGAAAAAUGCUUGAAUAUGCAUAACGCCUCAAGUUGCCUGAACAAAGCAGAGUGUACAAAAAUGUCCGUAAGAAUGUUUAUAAUGUACACAAUAGCUUUUCGACAUAGAGUCAGUGGUUUUUGCAAGUUGUUCUUUCAUGUUUUUUUUUCAAUGUACACAAUAGCUUUUCGACGUAGACUCAGUGGUUUUUGCUGUCCUCAUGUUUGGUUUACGAUUUUCAUUUUCCCUAUCACUGUAAGAGAUUUACCUUUUUUGUUGGUGCUCAUGUUUUUGGUGCAAAUGUUCGUGUCUUUUUUUAAACAGGAGCUUUGCAAGCAAAGAUACAAAUUCUGACCAGUUGGAGUUGAACAACAAUAAUCAACAACAUGACUCAGGGAAUGACAGCAUGACUGACCAGCAGGAGCAAACAUCUCGUGGCAUUUGUUCACAAGCUACGUAAACUAUAGUUGAUUUGACAGAAAGUGAUGCAUCAGACGGCAUGUUGCUUGAUGGCUUGAGAACAAUCGUAAGUAUGUUCUAAACUACAGGAAGCUACUCUUUUCCUUUUUGUGUUUGUUUUCCUUUUUCUUGUAUUUUUAUUUUUCUCCUCUUUGAUUUUCAUAAGUUGAAUUCUCUGACAAAAACUUCAUUUAUUUGUAUAGUUGCAGAAAAGACAAGAGAGGAAGCAGGAAAUGAGUGUUUUAAAAGAGCAAAGGGACAAGGUACUCGUUGACAAAGAAAACUACUUCAAUAUGUUUUUCUACUAACGAGGCCCAGGUCUGUGUACACAUGUGGCCUUUUCCUUCUCAAACAAACAAGAACAAACAAACAAAAAGCCCAACAAAAACAAGGGCAGGUUGCGGGGGUUGUUGGGCUGGAAGGGAUGGGCUGCCCACACAACAAACAAACUGGUCGACACGAGGUGAUCGGGGAGCAACCACGCGUAUUGUUUGUCAACAAGUGGGGACAGAUUAGAUGUAACAUAGACAUACCCUUUUUUUAAUUCAUCAAUAAUUCUUGGACUUUUCUAAAUCCAUGGAAUAUCUUAAAUUUUAUUUAAAAAAAUUCGUGAACAUUUUAAUAAUCCAUGAACAUUUUUUGAAUGUACAUUUAUUUUUUAGUUCUGGUGAAAAUACCACUAGUCGAUAUUGUUCAUUGAACAACAAUU